GGUCUUCCGGAAGUUAACCAUUUGAAGGCUUGCCAGUUGCAAGCAUGGAUCGGGAAUUUCGUAUUACAAUCCGUUUGUCUUAGAUAAAAUUCGUAAUCUGGAACUUUCCUUCAUUUUCUGCAUGAUGGGCAUAUUCAAUAUCUAGUCUCAUCUGGCCAUCAGAGAUCUUUGAUCUGUUGUGAAUGAAUGGAAUGAAAUAGGCAUGCCUAAAUUUUCUGCUCAUACAACUUUGCAACUUCAUGCGAUAUAGCAGUUAUGCAAGCAUUACUGCUCAUUUCAUUGAAUAAUGAAUGUUGGCUGUGAGAUUCCCAUUGAGCUUUCUCUAUUAUGAUUUGAGAGCUGAAUGGUGGGUUUUAUCAUGUUGCAUACGGAACAGCCAUGAAGAUGAACGAAAUCUAUGUGCCCGUUUGAGAGGACUAUUGAGUUGGAUAUAAAAGUAGUUAGAUAAGGUAAUACAGCCGCGAACCAAUCUAUUACAAAUUAAUUUGACAUAAUUUUUCCUGCUUCGUGAAUCGAUAUUAACCUGUUUGGAAAACCAGUUAAUAUUUUAUCAUUUAUAAACAGCUGUGUCAAGCAACCAUUGCUGUUGGGGUGUGUAAUCGGGCUCAAUCAAGGUCGAUCGUUGAAUGGAGCGUAAUUGAUUGGGGUGGUUAACCCGAAAACCACGCAAAAUAUAUUGGCAAUGAUGAUUCCCAAUUACCAACAGUAGUCAGGUUUUUCUUUUAUGAGUGUGGUAGCUAUAUGCAUUACCUCUUUCUGCUCUACUGUGCUAUCUGAUAGUAUGUUAGAUAUUUAAGAUUUUUAAAUAAUUUAGGUACUGCAAUUUUUUUAAUGGGCUAUUAGUAUUCCUAAUUACGCCUUUCAUAACCAAACUUCUACCAUUUACAAAUAGGAUUUUACAUGAGAUGCGUUUCAGCUUAACUUCAGUCUGAACAUGUGAUAGGUAAGGAUGGGAGAGGUAAGUUGUUGUUUCCUCUAACUUCAAUAAUUAAAAAGUCUAAGAACAUACUAUCGUAGUUUGAAAGCUAAAGGCAUAUUUAAGUAAUUUGACUUUGCUCUAGAUGGUAAAAAUUCCAAUUUACUAUACUACAAUUAUAUAUUUAAUGCUAAACGUUGCUUGAUAAGCUACGCAAUAUAUUUCCUUCGUUAACAACUGGUUGUGGUACAACACAAGUUGUAAGGAAUGGAUAAUGAAAGCUUUCAUUGAUUCUUGCAACUGUUUUUUAUCAUUUGGAUAGCCAACUCUCAAUGGAGAA